rnacentral:rRNA from 1 species
GCUAACACUAGCCCUAAGCACAAAAAACACUAAUAUAAGACUAAUAUACACCAAACCAUUUACCCACAUAAAGUAUAGGCGAUAGAAAUUUUAACUUGGCGCUAUAGACACAGUACCGUAAGGGAAAGAAUAGAACCAUAUAAGCACAAAACAGCAAGAACUAACCCCUGUACCUUUUGCAUAAUGAAUUAACUAGAAAUAAUUUCGCAAAGAGAACUAAAGCCAAACCCCCCGAAACCAGACGAGCUACCCGAAAACAGCUAGAAGAGCGCACCCGUCUAUGUGGCAAAAUAGUGGGAAGAUUUACGGGUAGAGGUGACAAGCCUACCGAGCCUGGUGAUAGCUGGUUAUCCAAGAUAGAAUCUUAGUUCAACCUUGAGCUUACCUACAGAACUACCUAAUCUCCUUGUAAACUCAAUUGUUAGUCUAAAGAGGGACAGCUCUUUAGACACUAGGAAAAAACCUUAUAUAGAGAGUAAAAACCGCAACUACCAUAGUUGGCCCAAAAGCAGCCAUCAAUUAAGAAAGCGUUCAAGCUCAACAUCAACCACUCAAAAAAUUCCGAACAUAUAACUGAACUCCUCACACCACAUUGGAUUAAUCUAUCACUACAUAGAAGCAACAAUGUUAGUAUAAGUAACAUGAAUAUCUUCUCCACUGCAUAAGCCUAAAUCAGACCGAAAACUUCACCGAUGCUUAACAGCCCAGUACUAACAAACACUAACAAGCCAAUACUACUAUCACUGUUAACCCAACACAGGCAUGCCCUCAAGGAAGGUUAAAAAAAGUAAAAGGAACUCGGCAAACUUAACCCCCGCCUGUUUACCAAAAACAUCACCUCUAGCAUUACUAGUAUUAGAGGCACUGCCUGCCCAGUGACACACGUUUAACGGCCGCGGUACCCUGACCGUGCAAAGGUAGCAUAAUCACUUGUUCUUUAAAUAGGGACUCGUAUGAAUGGCACCACGAGGGUUUAACUGUCUCUUACUUUCAACCAGUGAAAUUGACCUGUCCGUGAAGAGACGGACAUGAAACAAUAAGACGAGAAGACCCUGUGGAGCUUUAAUUUAUUAGUACAACUAAAAACCAUACAAACCAACAGGUCCUAAAUCCCCACAUCUGUGCUAAAAAUUUUGGUUGGGGCGACCUCGGAGCACAACCAAACCUCCGAAUAAUCCACGCUAAGACUACACAAGUCAAAGCAAACUAACACUUACAAUUGACCCAAUAGUUUGAUCAACGGAACAAGUUACCCCAGGGAUAACAGCGCAAUUCUAUUCUAGAGUCCAUAUCAACAAUAGAGUUUACGACCUCGAUGUUGGAUCAGGAUAUCCUAAUGGUGCAGCAGCUAUCAAGGGUUCGUUUGUUCAACGAUUAAAAUCCUACGUGAUCUGAGUUCAGACCGGAGCAAUCCAGGUCGGUUUCUAUCUAUUCUACAUUUCUCCCUGUACGAAAGGACAAGAGAAAUAAGGCCCACUUUACAACAGCGCCCUCACUACAUAAAUGAUUUAAUCUCAAUUUAACAAAAUACCACAUACCCCACCCAAGAGCAGGGUUU